rnacentral:tRNA from 1 species
AGGGAGAUGGCUCAGCAGUGAAGAGCACUGGAUGCUCUUCCAGAGGACCUGGGUUUGAUUCCCAGCAUCCAUA